UCGGUUUCUCCCUUCUGACGAACCAUGAUGUCAUUUAUUUGGUGUUGUGGGGAAUCAGGACUGUUACUUUGAAAAAAUUAGAGUGCUUAAAGCAGGCUCACGCUUGAAUACAUUAGCAUGGAAUAAUGAAAUAGGACGUUUGAUUCUAUUUUGUUGGUUUCUAGGAUCGACGUAAUGAUUAAUAGGGAUAGCUGGGGGCAUUAGUAUUCAAUUGUCAGAGGUGAAAUUCUUGGAUUUAUUGAAGACUAACUACUGCGAAAGCAUUUGCCAAGGAUGUUUUCAUUAGUCAUGAACGAAAGUUAGGGGAUCGAAGACGAUCAGAUACCGUCGUAGUCUUAACCAUAAACUAUGCCGACUAGGGAUCGGAUGAUGUUAAUUUUUUAAUGACUCAUUCGGCGCCUUACG
rnacentral:rRNA from 1 species